AAAUUGUAUAGUCGAAAGUGUGAAAUGAUAAUUAUCAAGGUUAAAAAGGAAAUAGGCUUCGGAAAAGUCGGAUUAAAAAUGAGUUAGACGCAUUUAUAGUUAAGUGUAAAUUAUGAGUUAAAGAAAUGAGUUAAAACAUGUUUAUGGAGCAAACUUCAAAAUAAGAUUAUUUGCUAACUGAAUGUCGGAAUAAGUCGGUUUUUGUGUCAUUUUGUUCGUUAUAAUAUAGAGAAUGAAAGUAGGGAAUAGCUGCUGCCAUAACAGUGGCAGAACAGCAGCAGAAUUGGCUGCAAACACAGCAGCCCAUAAGGUAAAUUCUGCUGUCAAUAAAACAGCCCGGGGAAUCAACUUCCAAGCUAGUUUCCGACACCUUCGGGUUUUAUUUUGAUUCCGAGGUCUAAACAAAUAUUGUAGGUGACAUUCCAAACUUUAGGAAUGUCAUUUUUAUUUAGAGUUUGGACUACUCUAAGUAAAAAUUUUAAUAGCUCAAAGUUGGUCGAAAAAUAUGAAUUAAAAAGGGAAGAUUAAGGAGCUAACUUUGAGCAAAAUUUUGGAGACUUUAGAGGUGUCGAACGAAGUUCGAGUCUAAAUGAAAGUUGUCGACGAUGUUACGGACUAUGGAAAUGUCCAAUUUAUUUUGAAUACGGGUUAUUUUAAAUAAGCGGUUUUGAUAGCCGAACUUGGUUAGAAAUCCAAUUUUUGGAUAAGUAAUUCUAGUUAGAUUUUUAUUAAUUAGUGCGAUUAUCGAAUUUUCGUAGACCCGGCGAGACAACCACCAACGGGACCCGGAACAUGAUGAAUGCGAUACCGCUUUACGAAUUCUCGAAGAUUUUUGUUAGCAAGUGUGUUUUAUUUCAGGUGAUAGUAUUUGAAGAGAUGGACUUCCAUUCUUGUUCCGGAAGUCUACAACAUAUAAAGUAUGUUUUGAAGUACGCUUCAAUUCGUAGCGCUGCAGUAGUCAGUAGAUGUCAGUCUAUAUUUGAUUGUUUGUACCGAACGAGAUCCAGCUGUUAACUCUGAUUUUAUAAAAUAUAUAUACACGAUUUAUAAAACUAUGUUUUUACCCGUUUGAUAA